UACAGAGGUCUCAAGCGUUGUUCGGAAUCACUGGGCGUAAAGGGUGCGUAGGUGGCGCGGUAAGUCAGAUGUGAAAGCCCGGGGCUCAACCUCGGAAUUGCAUCCGAUACUGCCGUGCUAGAGUACUGAAGAGGUGACUAGAAUUCUCGGUGUAGCAGUGAAAUGCGUAGAUAUCGAGAGGAAUACCAACGGCGAAGGCAGGUCACUGGGCAGUUACUGACACUGAGGCACGAAGGCCAGGGGAGCAAACGGG
rnacentral:rRNA from 1 species